GACGAACGCUGGCGGCGUGCCUAAUACAUGCAAGUAGAACGCUGAAGGAGGAGCUUGCUUCUCUGGAUGAGUUGCGAACGGGUGAGUAACGCGUAGGUAACCUGCCUGGUAGCGGGGGAUAACUAUUGGAAACGAUAGCUAAUACCGCAUAACAGUAGAUAUCGCAUGAUAUCUACUUGAAAGGUGCAAUUGCAUCACUACCAGAUGGACCUGCGUUGUAUUAGCUAGUUGGUGAGGUAACGGCUCACCAAGGCGACGAUACAUAGCCGACCUGAGAGGGGGAUCGGCCACACUUGGACUGGGACACGGCCCAGACUCCUACGGGAGGCAGCAGUAGGGAAUCUUCGGCAAUGGACGGAAGUCUGGCCGAGCAACGCCGCGGGGGUGAAGAAGGUUUUCGGAUCGUAAAGCUCUGUUGUAAGAGAAGAACGAGUGUGGGAGUGGAAAGUUCACACUGUGACGGUAUCUUACCAGAAAGGGACGGCUAACUACGUG
rnacentral:rRNA from 1 species